rnacentral:rRNA from 1 species
UACGUAGGGACCAAGCGUUGUUCGGAUUUACUGGGCGUAAAGGGCGCGUAGGCGGCGCGGUAAGUCACUUGUGAAAUCUCUGAGCUUAACUCAGAACGGCCAAGUGAUACUGCAGUGCUAGAGUGUGGAAGGGGCAAUCGGAAUUCUUGGUGUAGCGGUGAAAUGCGUAGAUAUCAAGAGGAACACCUGAGGUGAAGACGGGUUGCUGGGCCAACACGUGACGCUGAUGCGCGAAAGCCAGGGAGCAAACGGG